rnacentral:tRNA from 1 species
GGGCCUGUAGUGUUAACGGUAGCACACCACCUUUGACAAGUGAGUAGUGCCGGUUCAAAUCCGGUCGGGUCCA